GCAUCCAUGGCUGAAUGGUUAAAACGCCCAACUCAUAAUUGCCGAAUUCGUAGGUUCAAUUCCUACUGGAUGCN
rnacentral:tRNA from 1 species